rfam:Daphnia pulex DAPPTscaffold_1_Cont69, whole genome shotgun sequence.
GUUCUUAUUUAGGAUUUUGGCGCUGGCAACACAAGUAUAUGCAGCCUAAAAAGGUUGGAAUUGCACCAUAUGUUCAGAUUACUGUUGGCGCCAUGAUUUUCUUCUACACUCUUAAUUAUGGAAAGAUGAGUAAGUAUUUGAUAUUGUUAUUAUGA